rnacentral:rRNA from 1 species
AUGCAUGUCGGUACGAUCAUGGAGUCGAAUGAUGCGACUUUCUUUGAAGAUAUCUUUCCCAUGAAGGAUAUGGCUACCUCAUCUAAUCAGGAGAUGCCUAGUUCAUCGAAUCAGGAACCAGUUACAAUUACCGAACCUGCCAUUUCGAUGGAACACUUUGAAAAUCCCGUGGAGGAGAACAAUGAAGUUCCUAUUAGGAGCAAGAGACAGAGGACUGCAAAGUCCUUUGGUGAUGAUUUUCUUGUUUAUCUCAUAGAUGACACUCCCAGUUCUAUUUCAGAGGCUUAUGCAUCUCAAGAUGCUGACUACUGGAAGGAAGCAGUUCGUAGCGAGAUGGAUUCCAUCUUGGCGAAUGAAACUUGGGAGAUAACUGAUCGUCCUUAUGGGUGCAAACCUAUAGGAUGCAAAUGGGUAUUCAAGAAGAAGCUUAGGCCUGAUGGUACUAUUGAAAAGUACAAGGCUCGGCUCGUGGCUAAGGGUUAUACCCAAAAGGAAGGUGAAGAUUUCUUUGAUACUUACUCACCUGUGGCUCGACUGACCACUAUUCGAGUUCUACUUUCACUAGCUGCCUCACAUGGUCUUCUCGUUCAUCAAAUAGAUGUUAAGACUGCUUUCCUGAAUGGAGAGUUGAAUGAGGAAAUUUAUAUGGAACAACCAGAUGGGUUUGUAAUAGAUGGUCAGGAAGGGAAAGUGUGCAAAUUGUUGAAGUCUUUGUACGGACUCAAGCAAGCACCCAAACAGUGGCAUGAGAAGUUCGAAAGAACUUUAACAGCUGCAGGCUUUGUUGUGAACGAAGCUGACAAAUGUGUGUACUAUCGCCAUGGUGGGGGCGAGGGAGUUAUGCUUUGCUUGUAUGUUGAUGACAUACUGAUUUUUGGAACAAAUCUGAAUGUUAUUAAGGAGGUCAAGGAUUUCCUAUCUCGCUGUUUUGAGAUGAAAGAUUUAGGAGUGGCUGAUGUCAUUCUGAACAUCAAGUUGUUGAGAGAUGAUGAUGGUGGGAUUACAUUGCUUCAAUCUCACUAUGUGGAAAAGAUCUUGAGUCGCUUUGGCUAUAGUGACUGCAAGCCCUCUCCAACACCAUAUGAUGCUAGCGUGCUGCUUCGAAAGAAUCGAAGAAUUGCUAGAGAUCAAUUGAAGUAUUCUCAGAUUAUUGGCUCGCUUAUGUACUUAGCCAGUGCUACAAGACCUGACAUCUCUUUUGCUGUUAGCAAGCUGAGCCGGUUUGUCUCAAAACUGGGAGAAGUGCAUUGGUAA